AACAAUGGCUCUCAAAGCGUCCAUAUUAGGUUGAUCAAUUGAAGAGUGAAUGUGAAAAGAUUGCCACUUUGACUUAAAGUAUCGGCAAAGGUGCCGCAACUCCAAUGGCUAGCCCAAAACUUAUUUCGUUCUCACCCAAAGCAACAAAACUCCGCAAUCUUGUCAAAAAAAGGACGACAAAUUGGUUGUCCGUCUUGGUGGCAAUGAAGGACUACAAAAAUUUGAUCUCUCUGGUUUGCUGGUACAGAGAAUCUGAUACGUUCAGACGAAUUAAGCUGGAAAACAAAGGCAAACAUGGAAUUUAAAUACGAACGCAUAAAUGUUGACAAAGAAUUCUUCAAAACACGCUCACAAAUCGGACUCAAUAACCAAACAUAUUUCAUGCACAUAUGCAGGAAAUAUAAAAAUUAUUUAACAACACUUCCAACUAAUGGAUUACAACCUCCUCCAAAUUAUUUAUAUAAGUAAUUCAAUUUCACUUAUGAAUAAAUGGCUAUUUUUUUUAUCAAACUGAAUAUACCAAACAACCUUCGAUGUAGACAAAUUUCUUCAUCAACAAUAACAUCCAUACACCUUAUUUACCAGACCGAAAAUUUCAACUCGAAGUAGGCUAUAAUUAUUGGAACUGUCAAAAAAAUAACAAACAAAAAAAAAUGGAAUAUCAAACCAACUAGAAUUGUGUAAUGCAUCAUUCACGACCGCAUCCGCCUGUUUAGAAAAAAAAUGGAUGUUCUGUACUAAAUCUGCUGGGGCUGCAUUUUCUUUUGUUAAAAAAAAAUGAGGAAUAUGGAGUGAUCUAAAAAGGCAAUUUCUUGGUUUGGGCUUUCAAGGCCAUAUUAGUUGCAUGGGAAAUCACAUUCGCACAUUUGUUUCCAAACGUCAUUAAGUUCCUGUUAGAUGUUCUGAUAUUCGAUGUGAUUUUUUGCAAUUGCAAAUGGGCGAGUAUACGUGAUACCCCUCGACAAAAAUGCAACAAAGCGGACUGUUGCAAUUUACUCCAGAGGACGUUGUAAUUAACUCCAGAGGUUUGAACUAACAUUCGAUGGCUGCUUUCGAAUUCGACACCAAUGAGUUACAACCAAAACAAUAUAUUUUGAUUGGAUGGAAGGUUAAUGACUGUUCGAGUAUUUGUUGCAUCCUCUGUAUGAGACAAAACUACACAUACGCAAUUGAUUCUCUUUGUAUUCGAGAAGGUACUCAAUGUUGAGCCCAUUUUCUUUGCAUUCAGAAUUGCCGAGAGGUUUAUGUCCCCAUCUUUAAGAGUAUACAAAAAACUCUCCAUCUGUUCUCAUCGGUGACGGAGGAAUCAACACUUGCACCAGGUCGUGUAUAUUAAUAUGCUUGUAAGACAAAUGGAGCUUGAACGCUUGUCUUUUGAACCCCAUUUCGCCUGCCAUUUAGUAGAUGGCGCAAACCCACGUAUCUGAGAAAAAACACUUCAAAUUUAUGAUUUUGGUUGCAUUCAUACGUUAUUUUUAUUG